UACGUAGGGGGCUAGCGUUGUCCGGAUUUAUUGGGCGUAAAGAGCUCGUAGGCGGUCUGUCGCGUCGGCUGUGAAAACCCGGGGCUCAACCCCGGGCCUGCAGUCGAUACGGGCAGACUAGAGUGUGGUAGGGGAGACUGGAAUUCCUGGUGUAGCGGUGAAAUGCGCAGAUAUCAGGAGGAACACCGGUGGCGAAGGCGGGUCUCUGGGCCAUAACUGACGCUGAGGAGCGAAAGCGUGGGGAGCGAACAGG
rnacentral:rRNA from 1 species